AACGAACGCUGGCGGCAUGCCUAACACAUGCAAGUCGAACGAGACCUUCGGGUCUAGUGGCGCACGGGUGCGUAACGCGUGGGAAUCUACCCUUGGGUUCGGAAUAACUCAGAGAAAUUUGAGCUAAUACCGGAUGAUGUCGCAAGACCAAAGAUUUAUCGCCCAAGGAUGAGCCCGCGUAGGAUUAGCUUGUUGGUGAGGUAAAAGCUCACCAAGGCGACGAUCCUUAGCUGGUCUGAGAGGAUGAUCAGCCACACUGGGACUGAGACACGGCCCAGACUCCUACGGGAGGCAGCAGUGGGGAAUAUUGGACAAUGGGCGAAAGCCUGAUCCAGCAAUGCCGCGUGAGUGAUGAAGGCCUUAGGGUUGUAAAGCUCUUUUACCCGGGAUGAUAAUGACAGUACCGGGAGAAUAAGCCCCGGCUAACUCCGUGCCAGCAGCCGC
rnacentral:rRNA from 1 species